rnacentral:rRNA from 1 species
UACGUAGGUGGCAAGCGUUAUCCGGAUUUAUUGGGUGUAAAGGGCGUGUAGGCGGGAAUGCAAGUCAGACGUGAAAACUAUGGGCUCAACCCAUAGCCUGCAUUUGAAACUGUAUUUCUUGAGUGCUGGAGAGGCAAUCGGAAUUCCGUGUGUAGCGGUGAAAUGCGUAGAUAUACGGAGGAACACCAGUGGCGAAGGCGGAUUGCUGGACAGUAACUGACGCUGAGGCGCGAAAGCGUGGGGAGCAAACAGG